rnacentral:rRNA from 1 species
GAUGAACGCUAGCGGCAGGCUUAACACAUGCAAGUCGAGGGGCAGCGCAGGUAGCAAUACUGGGCGGCGACCGGCAAACGGGUGCGGAACACGUACGCAAUUUACCCUUAUCUGGGGGAUAGCCCGGAGAAAUCCGGAUUAAUACCCCAUAAUAUAUACGGAUGGCAUCAUCUGCAUAUUAAAGCUCAGGCGGAUAAGGAUGAGCGUGCGUCCCAUUAGCUAGUUGGUAGGGUAAAGGCCUACCAAGGCGACGAUGGGUAGCUGGUGUGAGAGCACGACCAGCCACACGGGCACUGAGACACGGGCCCGACUCCUACGGGAGGCAGCAGUGAGGAAUAUUGGUCAAUGGACGCAAGUCUGAACCAGCCAUGCCGCGUGGAGGAUGAAGGCCUUCUGGGUUGU